rnacentral:rRNA from 1 species
AUUAUUUAUAGCCUCUGGCUAUAGGAAAUUGUUAGUGGCAGACGGGUGAGUAAUGCGUAGGAAUCUACCUAGUAGUACGGAAUAGCCAUUAGAAAUGGUGGGUAAUACUGUAUAAUCCCCGAGGGGGAAAGAUUUAUCGCUAUUAGAUGAGCCUACGUUAGAUUAGCUAGUUGGUGAGGUAAUGGCUUACCAAGGCUAUGAUCUAUAGCUGGUCUGAGAGGACGAUCAGCCACACUGGAACUGAGAUACGGUCCAGACUCCUACGGGAGGCAGCAGUGGGGAAUAUUGGACAAUGGGCGAAAGCCUGAUCCAGCUAUGCCGCGUGAGUGAAGAAGGCCCUCGGGUUGUAAAACUCUUUCAAUAGGGAAGAUAAUGACGGUACCU